rnacentral:rRNA from 1 species
GACGAACGCUGGCGGCGUGCUUAACACAUGCAAGUCGAACGCUGAAGCUUGGUGCUUGCACUGGGUGGAUGAGUGGCGAACGGGUGAGUAAUACGUGAGUAACCUGCCCUUGACUCUGGGAUAAGCCUGGGAAACUGGUUCUAAUACUGGAUACGACAUGUCACCGCAUGGUGGUGUGUGGAAAGGGUUUUACUGGUUUUGGAUGGGCUCACGGCCUAUCAGCUUGUUGGUGGGGUAAUGGCUCACCAAGGCGACGACGGGUAGCCGGCCUGAGAGGGUGACCGGCCACACUGGGACUGAGACACGGCCCAGACUCCUACGGGAGGCAGCAGUGGGGAAUAUUGCACAAUGGGCGGAAGCCUGAUGCAGCGACGCCGCGUGAGGGAUGACGGCCUUCGGGUUGUAACCCUCUUUCAGCACGGAAGAAGCGAAAGUGACGGUACGUGCAGAAGAAGCGCCGGCUAACUACGUG